GGCUGGCAACAGGACAGUGCUGCCUGCAAAAUUCUUGAGAUGCCAGCUGGAGUAAUGCCAAGCUUGUGACUGUAGUGUGCUGUGGUCUAUGAAGCUGCUGAAAAAAUGUGGGCAAGAGGAAGCUUGUGACUGUAGUGUGCUGUGGUCUAUGGAGCUGCUGAAAAAAUAUGGGCAAGAGACAAUGUAUGGAAAGGGCUCCAGACUCACCAAGGCUGGAGUCACAGUAAAGGCAAGGAGAUGUACUGAUGUGGCGAGAGUACCAGCCAGGGAAGGCUAUUGAGUAUUGGUGCUGCACUUGGAGCACAGAAAGAAUGGGAUGUUUUACAGUCCUGGAUUCAAUUCACGGUUAAGUG
rnacentral:lncRNA from 12 species